UACGUAGGGUGCAAGCGUUAUCCGGAAUUAUUGGGCGUAAAGAGCUCGUAGGCGGUUUGUCGCGUCUGCUGUGAAAACGCGAGGCUCAACCUCGCGCCUGCAGUGGGUACGGGCAGACUAGAGUGCGGUAGGGGAGAUUGGAAUUCCUGGUGUAGCGGUGGAAUGCGCAGAUAUCAGGAGGAACGCCGAUGGCGAAGGCAGAUCUCUGGGCCGUAACUGACGCUGAGGAGCGAAAGCAUGGGGAGCGAACAGG
rnacentral:rRNA from 1 species